rnacentral:rRNA from 1 species
GUGGGGAAUUUUGCGCAAUGGGCGAAAGCCUGACGCAGCGACGCCGCGUGGAGGAUGAAGGCCUUUGGGUUGUAAACUCCUGUCAGGUGGGAAGAAAACCAUCAAGUGAACAAUUUGAUGGCUUGACUGUACCACCAGAGGAAGCCCCGGCUAACUCCGUGCCAGCAGCCGCGGUAAUACGGAGGGGGCAAGCGUUGUUCGGAAUUAUUGGGCGUAAAGGGCGUGUAGGCGGCCGAACAAGUCGGAUGUGAAAUCCCUCGGCUCAACCGAGGAACUGCAUCCGAUACUGCUUGGCUAGAGUCCGGGAGGGGGUAGUGGAAUUCCCAGUGUAGCGGUGAAAUGCGUAGAUAUUGGGAAGAACACCAGUAGCGAAGGCGGCUACCUGGACCGGAACUGACGCUGAGGCGCGAAAGCCAGGGGAGCGAAUGGGAUUAGAUACCCCUGUAGUCC